rnacentral:rRNA from 1 species
GACGAACGCUGGCGGCGUGCCUAAUACAUGCAAGUCGAGCGGACCAAAGGGAGCUUGCUCCUGGAGGUUAGCGGCGAACGGGUGAGUAACACGUGGGCAACCUGCCUGUAAGACUGGGAUAACAUCGAGAAAUCGGUGCUAAUACCGGAUAAUAAAAAGAACUGCAUGGUUCUUUUUUGAAAGAUGGUUUCGGCUAUCACUUACAGAUGGGCCCGCGGCGCAUUAGCUAGUUGGUGAGGUAACGGCUCACCAAGGCGACGAUGCGUAGCCGACCUGAGAGGGUGAUCGGCCACACUGGGACUGAGACACGGCCCAGACUCCUACGGGAGGCAGCAGUAGGGAAUCUUCCGGCAAUGGACGAAAGGUCUGACGGAGCAACGCCGCGUGAGUGAUGAAGGUUUUCGGAUCGUAAAACUCUGUUGUUAGGGAAGAACAAGUGCCGUUCGAAAGGGCGGCACCUUGACGGUACCUAACGAGAAAGCCACGGCUAACUACGUGCCAGCAGCCGCGGUAAAGUAG